rnacentral:misc_RNA from 1 species
UUUUUUCUUUUUCUCCUCAUUUUCACAUAAUAUUGGUUGAUGAAGAACCAUGGUUUGAUUUUGGGGCCGUCAAUUUUAUUCUUCUGUUGAUUUCCUUCUCCAAUUCUUCUAGGCCUCCCACUUCCUCUAAUUCCUUCGGACCCAAAAACAGCCCAUAUGGCACACCGUUGAACUUGUCUGAAUGGUGAAGCUGGUGAGCAGCAGCGACCUUUCUGAAAUAGGGGACGUUGGCGAUGGGACCCAC